GACGUAGGGCGCGAGCGUUGUCCGGAAUCAUUGGGCGUAAAGCGCGCGUAGGCGGCCCGGUAAGUCCGUUGUGAAAGUCAAAGGCUCAACCUUUGAACGCCGAUGGAUACUGCCGGGCUAGAGUCCGGAAGAGGCGAGUGGAAUUCCUGGUGUAGCGGUGGAAUGCGCAGAUAUCAGGAGGAACACCAAUAGCGAAGGCAGCUCGCUGGGACGGUACUGACGCUGAGGCGCGAAAGCGUGGGGAGCGAACAGG
rnacentral:rRNA from 1 species